rnacentral:rRNA from 1 species
AUUGAACGCUGGCGGCAUGCCUUACACAUGCAAGUCGAACGGCAGCGCGGGGCAACCUGGCGGCGAGUGGCGAACGGGUGAGUAAUAUAUCGGAACAUACCCUAGAGUGGGGGAUAACGUAGCGAAAGUUACGCUAAUACCGCGUACGCACUAAGGUGGAAAGUGGGGGAUCUUCGGACCUCAUGCUCAUGGAGUGGCCGAUAUCUGAUUAGCUAGUUGGUGAGGUAAAGGCUCACCAAGGCGACGAUCAGUAGCUGGUUUGAGAGAACGACCAGCCACACUGGAACUGAGACACGGUCCAGACUCCUACGGGAGGCAGCAGUGGGGAAUUUUGGACAAUGGGGGGCAACCCUGAUCCAGCAAUGCCGCGUGAGUGAAGAAGGCC